AGUGAACGCGCCGCCUCUUCCUAGAUCUCCGCCGCCGCCGCCUGGGCUCAAUGCUGUCACUGCCGCUGGACUCGACACCACCGCUGCCACCUUGACUGGACCGGCGACCUCUGUCCCCAGCAUCCUCUCCUCCAGACGCCAGGCUGCUGCUGCCCGCUACCCCAUCUUGCGCUCGGCUGCUCGUUUGAUUGAAUGCUUGUGAGGGAGUCAUCGGCUUGUGCAGUCGAACUGGUCAAGAGCUGUAUGUUAUUCACCGGCGGAGCUACGGCUGGACCUGCAGGCGCCUGAUUAUCUAACCAGGAACACAUGAUUUGAAUAUUGGCAGCUAACUACAAUGGCAGCUAAUUUAGGGUGUGUAAGAUACAAUGUCGAUGCUAUCUCGGCGCCCAGUGGAAACCUGUUUCUAUCUCUGCAUGUCGUUCAUGAUCAGGGACCCGAUUGAAUAAUGUAAAAAUCCUGAAAGGCCUACGGUGGACAUUGUCAUUACCUGAAGAUAGCUGACUGAAUACUGUGACAUCUCUUGGAACAUCAAACCAGGCAAUGUUGGAGAAGAUGGCGUCCUGGAUUGGAUAGCAGAGAUUGUGCAGAGCACUAUGGAUAUCUACUUUACUGACAGGGACUUUAGGCAUAAUACAUAGUGCUUUUCCUGAAUGUUUGCGGGGAGCUCAGUUAGUGUCGAUGCCUCAAGGGUUUAUGAAUAACAGUUCCAUGUUGCUUAAAGGCAUUGUAAUGCUGGCUACUAGUUUCCAGGUAUAUGUUUAUGUAGUCAUAUGGACGCGCUCAUUGAUAGUUCCUAUAGAAUGUUUAUAUUCUUUAUAACUUUGCCAUGGAUGAACCUAUUCUGGAUAAUGAGGAGUUAGCAAGGGAAGUUUUGGAUUGUAGAGAAUUGGCGACGCCUUUGCUUCAGGAUACUUAAUUAUAUGGCCUUGAGCUUUUAUUGAAAAGAAGGAUAAUUGAGUUGCAGCUGAAUUCUUCGGUUGGAUCAAGCAGCGAAGAAGAUUUUACUUAGCAAUACCUGUAGUUUACAUUGACAGAUUGAAAAAUGUAAUAUCAUUCACAAGAUUUUCUCCACAGUUGUGUUGUCUAUACUCAAAUUGAUAUGAAUGAUAUUAUGUUGCACCAAUAAUAUUGGUAUUUGUUUAUUGUAAUGCAUACGUA